rnacentral:rRNA from 1 species
CCUACGGGGGGCAGCAGUAGGGAAUAUUGCUCAAUGGGGGAAACCCUGAAGCAGCAACGCCGCGUGGAGGAUGAAGGUUUUCGGAUUGUAAACUCCUUUUGUUAGAGAAGAAAAUGACGGUAUCUAUCGAAUAAGCACCGGCUAACUCCGUGCCAGCAGCCGCGGUAAUACGGAGGGUGGAAGCGUUAAUCGGAAUCACUGGGCGUAAAGGGGGCGUAGGCGGGAUAGCGAGUCAGCGGUGAAUUCCUAGGGGUUAACCCAAGGACUGCAUUUGAAACUGGUAUUCUAGAGUAUGGGAGAGGGAGGUGGAAGUCUCGGGGUAGGGGUAAAAUGCGUAGAGA